rnacentral:rRNA from 1 species
UACGUAGGGGGCUAGCGUUGUCCGGAAUCAUUGGGCGUAAAGCGCGUGUAGGCGGCUCGGUAAGUCUGCUGUGAAAGUCCAGGGCUCAACCCUGGGAUGCCGGUGGAUACUGUCGGGCUAGAGUCCGGAAGAGGCGAGUGGAAUUCCCGGUGUAGCGGUGAAAUGCGUAGAUAUUGGGAAGAACACCGGUGGCGAAGGCGGCUCACUGGCUCAUUUCUGACGCUCAGGCGCGACAGCGUGGGGAUCAAACAGG